GGCUCCUCCCCCUGGCUGUACGACCCCUCCCCCUGGCUGUAGGAGGACUGGGACCAGCAGGAGGAGGGGGAACCCCAGACGGAGGGGGACCCACAGGCGGAGGGGGACCCCCAGAUGGAGGGGAAACCCAGGCGGAGGGGGAACCCCCAGACGGAGGGGGACCCCCCAGACGGAGGGGGACCCCCAGGAUGAGGGGGACCCCUGCCGCCAUCAGGACUUCAUGGAUGUCUCCGUGGGACCAGUAGAGGAGGCGGGGCUCCCUCUGGGUCUCUGACAGGCUGUCGGAGUGUUGUUGUUGUUGUUGUUGUUGUUGUUGUGUUUUUCGUAUGUUAGGUUAACGUGUGCUUCACUGUCCCCCAGAGGGUCUGGACUAAAGGAGCACCCUUCAAACACACCAAUACUCAGGAUUUACUUAUUUGCAGCAAAUAAACACAGAAGCAGCAGACAAACAUGGCCCGUUGUUGGGUCCCGGGAUGCAUCACGAGUGAAGGAGGAGCCCUGUGGAGGCGGGCUCUCAGACGGCGGCCGCUACGCUGAGCUGGGCUCCGGGCCGACAUGUUCAACACAUGGAGAUGUCUGACACUGACAAUGUCAAACUAAUCACCCCAAAACAAACACGCGUUGGUCGCAUCAUCCAUCCACAUGAUAAUCAAUCGUCCAUUCACUCUUUAUCAUUCAUCCAACCAUGUCCAUAAUGUAACCUCCAUCCUUCCAUUCAUCCCCAGCUCCAAUAUCUCUCUCUCUCUCUCCCCCAACCCCCUUCCCGCCUCUCUCCCUCUCUCACCCCCCACUCUCCCUCUCCCUCUCCCUCGCUCUCUCUCUCUCCACAUACAGAGAGGGUGCGGUCUGAGAUCGACUCUGUGAUUGGUCAGUCCCGGGGGGCCGUCAUGGCGGACAGAGCGUGCCAUACCAAUCGGUCGUCCUCCAUGAGACCCAGAGUAUGACCUGUUCCCCCUGGCCAUCGUCUGGCUGGCCAGGACAGCAGCUGACCUCUAGCAGCAGCAUUCUGAACAAGCUGAAGCUUCCUAAGAGAUGGUUUUGGGAGACCUGUAAGGAGACCAUUGCAGUAAUCAAGCUUACUAGUGAUAAAGGCAUGUACAAGUUUGUGUAAGUCUUCGGUGCACAUGAGCCCUCUAAGUCUUGCAACAUUUUGAAGGUGAUAAUAUAACUGUCCUCCCCAGACCUCAUGUGGCCAUCCCUCGACCCACUUCUCCCCUGCUGUCCGCCCUACUUAACCCCCCUGUCCUGCUGCCCUGCUGUC
ensembl:lncRNA